rnacentral:lncRNA from 1 species
CUCCCCAGACCUCACUUUGUCGGACUAUACUGAGUAGAUGCUGUUGUUGUUGUUGCUCAUAUGCACAAGCAACCAAUUCUAAAAUGAAUAAAUUUAUAUAUGCGGACUUGUUUUUUUUCUGGUGCUGUUCAUGAGCAGUUAAGCUGCAGUUGGAACAGCAGAUUAGAUAAUCAAGAAAUUCCAAAUAGAAAAUAUAAAAGUGGUG